rnacentral:rRNA from 1 species
UCAAAGAUUAAGCCAUGCAUGUCUAAGCAGAAGCCGUACUACGGUAAAGCCGCGAAUGGCUCAUUACAACAGCCGUCGUUUCUUGGAUCUCUCGAUCUACUUGGAUAACUGUGGUAAUUCUAGAGCUAAUACACGCCUUGAAGCUCUGACCUUCGGGGACGAGCGCAUUUAUUAGAACAAAACCAAUGGGGUUCGCCCCUCGGUUGGUGACUCUGAAUAACUACUCCGAUCGCACGGUCUCGCACCGGCGACGCAUCUUUCAAGUGUCUGCCUUAUCAACUGUCGAUGGUAGUUUAUGUGCCUACCAUGGUUGUAACGGGUAACGGAGAAUAAGGGUUCGACUCCGGAGAGGGAGCCCGAGAAACGGCUACCACAUCCAAGGAAGGCAGCAGGCGCGCAAAUUACCCAUUCUCAGUACGAGGAGGUAGUGACGAAAAAUAACGAGACGGAUCUCUUUGAGGCCCGUUAUCGGAAUGAGAACAAUUCAAAUCCUU